rnacentral:miRNA from 1 species
AUGUUCCAUAAGUGUGCUAGAAC